GAUGAACGCUGGCGGCGUGCCUAAUACAUGCAAGUCGAGCGAACAGACGAGGAGCUUGCUCCUUUGACGUUAGCGGCGGACGGGUGAGUAACACGUGGGUAACCUACCUAUAAGACUGGGAUAACUUCGGGAAACCGGAGCUAAUACCGGAUAAUAUUUCGAACCGCAUGGUUCGAUAGUGAAAGAUGGCUUUGCUAUCACUUAUAGAUGGACCUGCGCCGUAUUAGCUAGUUGGUAAGGUAACGGCUUACCAAGGCAACGAUACGUAGCCGACCUGAGAGGGUGAUCGGCCACACUGGAACUGAGACACGGUCCAGACUACUACGGGAGGCAGCAGUAGGGAAUCUUCCGCAAUGGGCGAAAGCCUGACGGAGCAACGCCGCGUGAGUGAUGAAGGUCUUCGGAUCGUAAAACUCUGUUAUUAGGGAAGAACAAACGUGUAAGUAACUGUGCACGUCUUGACGGUACCUAAUCAGAAAGCCACGGCUAACUACGUG
rnacentral:rRNA from 1 species